UACGUAGGGGGCAAGCGUUGUCCGGAUUUAUUGGGCGUAAAGAGCGUGUAGGCGGCCAGGUAGGUCUGCUGUGAAAACUCGAGGCUCAACCUCGAGACGUCGGCGGAAACCAUCUGGCUAGAGUCCGGAAGAGGAGAGUGGAAUUCCUGGUGUAGCAGUGAAAUGCGUAGAGAUCAUAAGGAAGACCAGUGGCGAAGGCGGGUCUCUGGACAGUUCCUGACACUGAGGCACGAAGGCCAGGGGAGCAAACGGG
rnacentral:rRNA from 1 species